AUGCUUGAUGCUGUCUAUAAUU
rnacentral:miRNA from 1 species